rnacentral:rRNA from 1 species
GGGUUGUGAGGUUAAGCGAAUAAGCGUACACGGUGGAUGCCUAGGCAAUCAGAGGCGAUGAAGGACGUGCUAAUCUGCGAAAAGCGUCGGUAAGGUGAUAUGAACCGUUAUACCCGACGAUAUCCGAAUGGGGAAACCCAGUAUCCAAUGGAUACUAUCAUUAACUGAAUCCAUAGGUUAAUGAGGCGAACCGGGAGAACUGAAACAUCUCAGUACCCCGAGGAAAAGAAAUCAACCGAGAUUCCCCUAGUAGCGGCGAGCGAACGGGGAGCAGCCCAGAGUCUUAAUCAAUAGCAGUGUCAGGAGAACGGUCUGGAAAGUCCGGCAGUAAAGGGUGAUAGCCCCGUAUCUGAAGAUGCUGUUAUUGUGAACUCGACGAGUAGGGCGGGACACGUGUUAUCCUGUCUGAAUAUGGGGGGACCAUCCUCCAAGGCUAAAUACUCCUGAUUGACCGAUAGUGAACCAGUACCGUGAGGGAAAGGCGAAAAGAACCCCGGCGAGGGGAGUGAAAAAGAACCUGAAACCGUGUACGUACAAGCAGUAGGAGCCUCUUUAUGGGGUGACUGCGUACCUUUUGUAUAAUGGGUCAGCGACUUAUAUUCUGUAGCGAGGUUAACCGUAUAGGGGAGCCGUAGGGAAACCGAGUCUUAACUGGGCGAAUGAGUUGCAGGGUAUAGACCCGAAACCCGGUGAUCUAUCCAUGGGCAGGUUGAAGGUUGGGUAACACUAACUGGAGGACCGAACCGACUAAUGUUGAAAAAUUAGCGGAUGACUUGUGGAUGGGGGUGAAAGGCCAAUCAAACCGGGAGAUAGCUGGUUCUCCCCGAAAGCUAUUUAGGUAGCGCCUCGUGAACUCAUCUUCGGGGGUAGAGCACUGUUUCGACUAGGGGGUCAUCCCGACUUACCAACUCGAUGCAAACUGCGAAUACCGAAGAAUGUUAUCACGGGAGACACACGGCGGGUGCUAACGUCCGUCGUGAAGAGGGAAACAACCCAGACCGCCAGCUAAGGUCCCAAAGUCAUGGUUAAGUGGGAAACGAAGUGGGAAGGCUCAGACAGCCAGGAUGUUGGCUUAGAAGCAGCCAUCAUUUAAAGAAAGCGUAAUAGCUCACUGGUCGAGUCGGCCCGCGCGGAAGAUGUAACGGGGCUAAACCAUGCACCGAAGCUGCGGCAGCGACACAAAGUGUUGUUGGGUAGGGGAGCGUUCUGUAAGCCUGCGAAGGUGUACUGUGAGGUAUGCUGGAGGUAUCAGAAGUGCGAAUGCUGACAUAAGUAACGAUAAUGCGGGUGAAAAACCCGCACGCCGGAAGACCAAGGGUUCCUGUCCAACGUUAAUCGGGGCAGGGUGAGUCGACCCCUAAGGCGAGGCUGAAAAGCGUAGUCGAUGGGAAACGGGUUAAUAUUCCCGUACUGGUGGUAACUGCGAUGGGGGAACGGAGAAGGCUAGGUUGUCCGGGCGACGGUCGUCCCGGUUCAAGCAGGUAGGCAGAGUGAUUAGGCAAAUCCGGUCACUUAAUGCUGAGAUGUGAUGACGAACCACCAAGGUGGUGAAGCAAUUGAUGCCCCGCUUCCAGGAAAAGCCUCUAAGCUUCAGGUUACCAACAAUCGUACCCCAAACCGACACAGGUGGUCAGGUAGAGAAUACUCAGGCGCUUGAGAGAACUCGGGUGAAGGAACUAGGCAAAAUGGUGCCGUAACUUCGGGAGAAGGCACGCUGGCGGUAGGUAAAGUCCCUCGCGGACGGCGCUGAAGCCAGUCGAAGAUACCAGCUGGCUGCAACUGUUUAUUAAAAACACAGCACUGUGCAAACACGAAAGUGGACGUAUACGGUGUGACGCCUGCCCGGUGCUGGAAGGUUAAUUGAUGGGGUUAGCGCAAGCGAAGCUCCUGAUCGAAGCCCCAGUAAACGGCGGCCGUAACUAUAACGGUCCUAAGGUAGCGAAAUUCCUUGUCGGGUAAGUUCCGACCUGCACGAAUGGCGUAAUGAUGGCCAGGCUGUCUCCACCCGAGACUCAGUGAAAUUGAACUCGCUGUGAAGAUGCAGUGUACCCGCGGCAAGACGGAAAGACCCCGUGAACCUUUACUAUAGCUUGACACUGAACAUUGAGCCUUGAUGUGUAGGAUAGGUGGGAGGCUUUGAAGUGUGGACGCCAGUCUGCAUGGAGCCAACCUUGAAAUACCACCCUUUAACGUUUGAUGUUCUAACCUAGGCCCAUAAACUGGGUCGGGGACCGUGUCUGGUGGGUAGUUUGACUGGGGCGGUCUCCUCCUAAAGAGUAACGGAGGAGCACGAAGGUUGGCUAAGCAUGGUCGGACAUCAUGCGGUUAGUGCAAAGGCAUAAGCCAGCUUGACUGCGAGAGUGACGGCUCGAGCAGGUACGAAAGUAGGUCUUAGUGAUCCGGUGGUUCUGAAUGGAAGGGCCAUCGCUCAACGGAUAAAAGGUACUCCGGGGAUAACAGGCUGAUACCGCCCAAGAGUUCAUAUCGACGGCGGUGUUUGGCACCUCGAUGUCGGCUCAUCACAUCCUGGGGCUGAAGUAGGUCCCAAGGGUAUGGCUGUUCGCCAUUUAAAGUGGUACGCGAGCUGGGUUUAGAACGUCGUGAGACAGUUCGGUCCCUAUCUGCCGUGGGCGUUGGAAGAUUGAGAGGGGUUGCUCCUAGUACGAGAGGACCGGAGUGAACGCACCACUGGUGUUCGGGUUGUCAUGCCAAUGGCAUUGCCCGGUAGCUAAGUGCGGAAGAGAUAACCGCUGAAAGCAUCUAAGCGGGAAACUUGCCUCGAGAUGAGUCUUCCCUGUCGCUUUAAGCGACCUAAAGGAACGUUUAAGACUAAGACGUUGAUAGGCUGGGUGUGUAAGCGUAGCGAUACGUUGAGCUAACCAGUACUAAUGAACCGUGAGGCUUAACCUGACAACACCGAAAGUGUUUUG